GUGGUCUUCGUCCAGCGGCAGGACACCGGAUUGUGGAUCCGGGAACGCGAGUUCAAAUCUCGCAGACCACC
rnacentral:tRNA from 1 species